rnacentral:lncRNA from 1 species
UUAGUUGUUCCUUGGAUGUUUGAGGGGGUAUGUUGAUUAAGGGAGAUGAGAUGAUGCAGGUAUGACCCCUGACAGGAUAGUGGCAAAGCAUAAUCACUAUAAGAGCCAACAGGCUUUACUGUUUUACAGGUGAAAAAUGAGGCCCACAGAUGAGAACACAGACUCACAUGGUCAAAUGCCUGUCCAAGGCCCAGGGUUAGCAAGUAGCAGAGCUGGGGCUCGAACCCAUGUUCUCUGACCCUCCAGCCAGUGGCAUUUCCCCUAACCCAUCUAUACUCUCCUCUAAAGUGGCAUCUCCAGAUUGGGUGUGUAUUAGUCUGCUAGGGCUGCCAUAACAUCAAGUACCAGACUGAAUGGCUUAAACAAUAGACAUUUAUUUUCUCACAGUUCUGGAGGUUAGAAGUCCAAGAUCAAGGUGGCAGGGUUGAUUUUUUGUUGUUGUUGUUGUUGUUGUUGUAGUUUUUCGGUUUUUGAGACCGAGUCUCGCUCUGUCGCCCAGGCUGGAGUGCAGUGGCACAAUCUUGGCUCACUGCAAGCUCCACCUCCUGGGUUCACGCCAUUCUCCUGCCUCAGCCUCCCGAAUAGCUGGGACUACAGGUGCCCGCCACUAUGCCUAGCUGCUUUUUUGUAUUUUUAGUAGAGACAGGGUUUCACCGUGUUAGCCAUGAUGGUCUCGAUCUCCUGGCCUCGUGAUCUGCCCGCCUCGGCCUCCCAAAGUGCUGGGAUUACAGGUGUGAGCCACCGCGCCCGGCCUGCAGGGUUGAUUUCUUCCGAGGCUUGUCUCUGGCUUGUAGACGCUGCCUUCUCCCUGCGUGUUCACACAGUCUUCCCUCUGUGCGUGUCUGUGUCAUAAUCUCUUCUCCUUAUAAGGACACCAGUCAUAUUGGAUUAGGGCCACCUUAGUGACCUCAUUUUAACUUUAAUUAGUUCUUUAAGGGCCCUGUCUCCAAAUAUAGUCACAUUUCGAGGUACUGGGGGUUAGGAUUUCAAUAGAGAAAAUUUGGGGAAACACAGUUCAGCCGCUAACAGGGCCCUUUCUGUGCUGUAACCUGGGGCAAGCCUCCCCCACAGCAGGUACCACAGCCCCAGAUGACUCUUUGCUUUAGAAAAUCAAGUGACCUCAGU